GAUGAACGCUGGCGGCGUGCCUAAUACAUGCAAGUCGAGCGAAGCGGGGACGGGUGAGUAACACGUGGAUAACCUCCUAUAAGACUGGGAUAACUUCGGGAAACCGGAGCUAAACCGGAUACUUAUCGAUGGAUACGCGCUGCAUUAGCUCGUUGGUAAGGUAACGGCUUACCAAGGCCACGAUGCAUAGCCGACCUGAGAGGGUGAUCGGCCACAAUGGAACUGAGACACUGGCCAGACUCCUACGGUAGGCAGAAGUAGGGAAUCUUCAGCAAUGGGCGAAAGCCUGAAGGAGCAACGCCGCGUGAGUGAUGAAGGUCUUCGGAGCGGAAAACUCUGUUAUUAGGGAAGGGGGACCUAAUCAGAAGGCCACGGCUAACAACGUGCCAGCAGCCGCGGUAAAAC
rnacentral:rRNA from 1 species